rnacentral:sRNA from 1 species
CAAAACAAAACAAAGCCAAGCUCUGUACCCAUGCCGGUGCCUCGGGUAGAUAACAACCCUUUAUGGUGGCGGGGGAUGGGGAUGGGGACAGGAGGAGGAAGUGCCUCUCUGUGGAAGAGCCUCUUUCCCCAGAGUUCUUGCCCAGAGUUGAGGGUAUGGGUGGAUGGGAGGCAGGCACAGUUCGGCCUGGCUCCCUAUGGUGGUGAACAUCUCUGGCUAUGUCUUCAAGAAAUUUUCUGGACUAGGUUAGCUGAGGUGGGAAACCCCGCCCUGAACGAACAUGGCACCCUCCCAUGGACGGGAUCUGGAACGCAUGAAAAGGGGAAAGUGGACUGCGCACCAGCGAUCGUGUCUCUCUGCUUCCUGACUGGGUGCAGUGUGACCAGCUGCCUCACCGGCUGUGACUCCUCACCAUCCCAGACUGCACCUCAGACUGUGAGCCCAAGUAAGCCCUUCCUGCCUUAAGUCUUCUUUGUCAGGCAACUUGCCACAGCAAGAAAAUAACAUGCUCCCUUUUGUUCCUGCCACCGCUCUUGAUGCUGAUGGACAGACAGACGGACAGAUACUCCCACUGUCCCUCUGGAGAGGCGUCGGGCAUGCUGGGCCUUCCUUUUCCAGCCUUUGAGAUCAGUCUGCCCUCUCCACAGGGCCAAUAGUUUCCUUAGGAGUCUAUGAAAAUAUUUUCAUUUCAAGUCAGAAGAAAAACUUUUUGUUUGUUUUGUUUGGUUUUUGAAUGCCCUGUGUGUUGUGAGUGCAGCCUGGGUGACAGGGCUUCCUACCAGGGAAACAUACUCCCGGACAUUGGCUGACAGGAGGAGAGGCCCUGGGAGGAAAAGGUACCUGGGCCUGAGGUCAGAUUACCUCCCACUUACAAAGUUAGGGCCUGCAAGACAUCAGUCAACUUGACUCCAUCGGAUGUCAGGGCUGGUUCCACAGGGCGGGCCAUCUCAGGCUUAGACAGGGCAGAACCACGAGCACGGCACACCUCCCAGUUUGGUGAGUCCCACACUCCACGGGGGCUGCCACCAGCAAUUCACAGGAGGCCAGCCUGAGGGAGACAAGAGAGGCAGAGCCAGAAGCCUUUUCCUGGCCACCGUCUUCCUCUGUCAGCUUCCCCAGGCUCUAGACCUGGUGCUCACCCCAAUAAAUGGUCUGCCCCCCUCAUUCCCAGAGGCUACAGAGCUGAGGAGCUACAGGGCGAUGUCUUAGCUCCAUUCUCCGCGGUCAUUUCAUGUCCUCUCCUGAAGAGAAAGAAAAUAUAGCAUAGACCCUUAUCGGUGCCUAGCGGGUUGGAGACUGGAAGAGCUGAUGUUCCAGUCCAAAACCAGGCCUGGGUUCUAGCUGGGAGGCAGUUGGGAGACUCGCUUUCCAAGAUGGUGGGAGUGGCAUGCCCUUGAGCCUUUUAAUCUUAGUUGUAUCUCGGCCUGAGGGGAUGGGAGGUCAUCUGCCAUACACAAUGUAUCAAACAAGGUUAAUCCUCCCUCUUUUGCAGAGGCACUUGGUGACAGUGGUGAUACUGACAGAUCUAUGACAACAAACUUAAAGGACACUUCGUUCUGGCUCACAGUUUUGGAGGCCCUGGGCCAGAGCUGAUUGGCUCCAUUCCUUUUAUGGUAAAAUACAAAGGCAUUGAUCUGCUGGGCAGGAAGCAAGAGCAGAGUAGGGCCCCACCGCUCUGGAGCAGAGCUCCCUGACCUAAAGGCUUCCCAGUAGCCCCACCUCCUAAAGGCUUCAUCCCUUCCAAUAGGGAUCCUUGAGCACAAGGGUCUCUGGGGGCUCCUGCCUGGCCCUGGGGACAAGAGCUGGCAUCAGAUGAGGUCCACUCAAUAGAGCCAGGACCACUUGAGCAGGCUCCCCCUGGGCGACAGACCCAGAAGCCACCCAUCACAGGUGUGAAGUGGUCUAGCCAGGGCAAGACUGGCAAAGCAGGGUGGCUAGCCUGGGCUUACAUUUCAGCUGUGGACUGACUACACACAGCAAUGGAUGGCAUGGGUUGGGGACAGAGCUAGGAGAGGCACAGGCAGCAGCUCUGACUCCUACCUCUAACCAGGGCACAGUGAGAGCUCCUGAUUGUCUCUUCCUGGUUAAGCCCAAGGUCAGGGUGAGCGGCAGCCCAGUCCUCCCCCGUGAAGAGAGAACAGCCCUGGGCAGCGUGUGGUAGUGAGUCUCAGAUUUAACUGGGACAGCUAAUCCCCUCCGGAAAAACAAAAGCAAGGGACACUCAGUGGCUAGAUGCCUUCACCCUGGCUCCAGCCCUGGGUUGAUGUCCUUGGCAUGGCCACAGCGUGUCCUGGGGCCACUGUGAGUUGCUUCAGGACGGCCUGUCCAUAGCACCUGUACCACAUGACCUGUGUCUUUCCUUCAAGGCACACUGACCUGGCCAAAGCGAACAGGGACAAACCGCCACCCUUGUUACAAGAGUCCAUGAGGGUUUCGUGACUACUGGCUUGACCAAGAGAUGGCUGUUUUGGGCGUUCUAAGGUAACUUACUGCCUAGUUUCAUGGCAGAGGGAUGGACACUGGAACUAUUACUGUGGAAAGCAAUACAGCAAGCACUGUCAUUUUACCGUUUUGGAGCAUAGGACUCAACACUCCAGUGGUUUUACCCUUGCUGUAUUUAUGUGGGGACAGCAUUGCCGUCUUCCCAGAAUGCCUCCAAGUCCUUGGUUUUCAGUUUUUAAAUGACAUGUAUUUAAGGUACCUGUGUAUAUGCUGUGGGUGUACAUGGCAUACUAUGGGCAUGGAGGUCAGAGGAGCCCAAGGUCCUCACAGUGGAGCACUGGUCCUUAGGCUUGGCGGUGAGCACCCACCCACUGAGCCAUCCUGUCAAAGCCUUCAUUUUUCAGGCAGAACUGGGUCCAGUUGGUUUGUUUCAUGACAUUGAUAAAAACUCCCCUGGUGCUUGAGAACUGCAGGUACCCCAAGGUUUAGGUUUGGUUAGAUUUCGAAUCAAAGAAAAAAUGGGGCUGGGUAUGGUGGCACACACCUGUAAUACCAGCACUUGGGAGGCAGUGGCAGGAUAGUGAGUUUCAAGCCAGACCAGCCUUCGGAGUAUGUUCUAGGAUAGCCUGGGCUACGUGCCAAAACUCUGUCAAAGAAAAACAUGGUGUCGUUCAGGAUGAACACACGUUAGCAACCUGGCCUAGUUAGGGCAUGCCACUCCAGGGGGGUCAGGUCUCAACAGUCCAGACAGCACUUUGGGUUGGAUGUUCGUAAGCCUUGUGUGUUCUUAGGCUAUCUCUCAUCUCCACAGAAUGUGACCCUGGAGCCGAGGCGAGGAAAGGCAGGUUUGCCUUGACCGACCGCCCUUAAGUCUUUCCUCAGGUUGCAAGCUCAGCAGAAGUCUGGUGGGUCAAGCCACUUUCCAUCUUGCCUGCAAAUCAUCGGCCAGCAGGGUUCACAUGCCGGGUAAUGAACACGCGGGGAGUCUCUUGCUUUCUGUCUGAUCGGACACCCCAGCUGUGCCCUCUAAGGACAGAUCAAGGACUCAGCUAGAAUAGAGAUCGCUCUUCCCUUUGAAGAGGUUCUGUCUUUGCACCCUGCAAGGACCAUGACGACCUUCCUCCCUGACCUGUGCCCUACUGUCCUGGGCUCUGCUGCCUCUGCAGACCCCAGAAACAGGAGAGCCAGGAUGAGGUCACUCUGGCCACCUAUUGUCCUGAGUUACCUGCUCGGAGAAAUCUAUUUUACUCUUAAGCAACACAAUAACACCAGGAGCGAGGUUGUGAGACAGGGUUUUGGCAUGUAGCCCAGGCUAUCCUAGAACCCACUCUGCAGUACAUGUCUGAUGUGCUGAACUGCACAGCAGGCCUUGGAGAGGCACAGAGACUACCCACCAUCCACUCAGCAGCGUGGCCCCCCUUGCCUUUGGGCACCAGCAGCUUCUUUUCAAUCUCUGUUCUUCCUAGAGGCCUUCCCAAGAAGAAAAGGACACUCUUCUUAAACAGUUCACAUUUAUUAUUGUAACAAUAAAAAAAUCUUUUAAAGACUAUCAGUAUUGUAUUACCAAGAGUGAGGUAAUAUGUUUACAAAACAUUUACAGAAUUUGAUAUGCAAAUAAUGGUUCAGGGAGGAGUGAGUUAAGACACUAGAAACAGGAGAGCCCAGAGAGUGCAGGGAGCAGCAUGUUAGGGGAGUGCUGGGCACUGGACAAGCAGCUCUGUGAGCCACACAGUCACCUCACAGCCAGCCUCCCUCACAAGGCAGCCAGUGCCCUGUGGCCUGGGGAAGCUCAAGGCCUGUGAAUGUGUAGUUGUGUGCUUUGAGCUCUUAAAGAUGCUAUCAGCUCUGAGGGGGCUGAACAGAGACACUUCUGAAUGGACUUAAAGGGAGCAGCUCUUCAGCCUGGGGCAUGGCUGCGACUCAGAUAGGUCUACAAACAUCCCUGGGCACAUGUGGGCUGUCGAGUGAAGCGCUUUCUUGGAGGUUGUCAGCAAAAUCGCCAUCUGGGACAUGGAGAAAGGGAGAGGGAAAAGGAGAGAGAAGAGAGAAAGAGCAGGGGCAUCUUCAGGUCCUUUCGCUUGGAGCUGGGGAGCCCUGACUGAAGCAGUGUGGACGCGGCAGCCACAGCCCCGCUGUGCGUGUACAAGCAGCCCCCACACACACGAAAUGCACAGCAGUGGACCCAGAACGGCCAGCAAGCAUAGCUCAGGGUGCCAGGAGCCAGAGGGCUCACUGGCCAAGCAGGCUGCUGCCGUCUCCCCUCAUGCUUGCGACAUGCCACACCCUCUACAGAGCUCUCAAAUCACACCGCCAGUCAGCCAGCGCCUCAGAGCAGCAUCCACAUCGGAGUCCACUCCCCUCACCCCUCACACACUCACAGCCAUACUGAUUUGGCACACAUCUUUAGACAUUGUUACCACACAAACAGAUUCUGCGCCCUUUUCUGGAGAUCAGCCACCUGCAACUUCUAGACAGCUCGGUAAGAAGCAUGCUUUCCCAUAAAAGCUGUGAACUGAGGAGCUGCUCUAACAGCAGGCUUUGAGAAGUCAGGAUCAGAAAAAAAAAGAGAGACGAACCCAAGCCUCUGAUCCACUUCUCUGAAAUGCAGACAGAACAAGUGCAGCCCUACGGCCCCUCCCCAGCAGCACCCCACUCCCUCAUGCACACACACA